UAUUUUCCAUCGCUUGGUGCUCCAUCUAUUUCUCAUCCUUCUGCUAGCUGUUACGGGCUAGCUAUGGAGCCCUUAACUCCUGUAAAUAUGUCCAGAAGGGACAUUUUUUCAUUCUUUUAUUCUUUAGAUUCAAUUUCUUCCUUCUUUCCUUUUCCUCCUUUUUUGACUCCAAACUAUGUACAUCCCCCUUCCACUAUAGAUAGCGCGAGCACCUCUCUGCUCAUUUGGAUCCAGUUUUUAACUGGGAGGGAGCUUUUCCAUGAUAUCUUAACUGGG
rnacentral:lncRNA from 1 species